rnacentral:rRNA from 1 species
GACGAAUGCUGGCGGCGUGCCUAAUACAUGCAAGUCGAACGAGAGCGACCGGUGCUUGCACUGGUCAAUCUAGUGGCGAACGGGUGAGUAACACGUGGGUAACCUGCCCAUCAGAGGGGGAUAACAUCCGGAAACGGAUGCUAAAACCGCAUAGGUCUUCGAGCCGCAUGGCUUGAAGAGGAAAAGAGGCGCAAGCUUCUGCUGAUGGAUGGACCCGCGGUGCAUUAGCUAGUUGGUGAGGUAACGGCUCACCAAGGCCGUGAUGCAUAGCCGACCUGAGAGGGUGAUCGGCCACAUUGGGACUGAGACACGGCCCAAACUCCUACGGGAGGCAGCAGUAGGGAAUCUUCCGCAAUGGACGCAAGUCUGACGGAGCAACGCCGCGUGAGUGAAGAAGGUUUUCGGAUCGUAAAACUCUGUUGUUAGAGAAGAACAAGUGCUAGAGUAACUGUUAGCGCCUUGACGGUAUCUAACCAGAAAGCCACGGCUAACUACGUG